rnacentral:tRNA from 1 species
GCAGUGGCGGUUCAGUGGUAGAAUUCCUGCCUUUCAUGUAGGAGAUCUGAGUUCAAGUCUCAGCCAAUGGG